rnacentral:rRNA from 1 species
GGCGAACGCUGGCGGCGUGCUUAACACAUGCAAGUCGAACGGAAAGGCCCUGCUUUUGUGGGGUGCUCGAGUGGCGAACGGGUGAGUAACACGUGAGUAACCUGCCCUUGACUUUGGGAUAACUUCAGGAAACUGGGGCUAAUACCGGAUAGGAGCUCCUGCUGCAUGGUGGGGGUUGGAAAGUUUCGGCGGUUGGGGAUGGACUCGCGGCUUAUCAGCUUGUUGGUGGGGUAGUGGCUUACCAAGGCUUUGACGGGUAGCCGGCCUGAGAGGGUGACCGGCCACAUUGGGACUGAGAUACGGCCCAGACUCCUACGGGAGGCAGCAGUGGGGAAUAUUGCACAAUGGGCGGAAGCCUGAUGCAGCAACGCCGCGUGCGGGAUGACGGCCUUCGGGUUGUAAACCGCUGUCGCCUGUGACGAAGCGUGAGUGACGGUAAUGGGUAAAGAAGCACCGGCUAACUACGUG